UUACGGCCACAUCACGUUGAAAUACCGCUUUUCGUACGAUCACCGAAGUUAAGCAACGUCGAACCUGGUCAGUACCUAGAUAGGUGACUGCUUAUGAAAAUACUAGGUGCCGUAA